rnacentral:rRNA from 1 species
GAUGAACGCUGGCGGCGUGCCUAAUACAUGCAAGUCGAGCGAACAGACGAGGAGCUUGCUCCUCUGACGUUAGCGGCGGACGGGUGAGUAACACGUGGAUAACCUACCUAUAAGACUGGGAUAACUUCGGGAAACCGGAGCUAAUACCGGAUAAUAUAUUGAACCGCAUGGUUCAAUAGUGAAAGACGGUUUUGCUGUCACUUAUAGAUGGAUCCGCGCCGCAUUAGCUAGUUGGUAAGGUAACGGCUUACCAAGGCAACGAUGCGUAGCCGACCUGAGAGGGGGAUCGGCCACACUGGAACUGAGACACGGUCCAGACUCCUACGGGAGGCAGCAGUAGGGAAUCUUCCGCAAUGGGCGAAAGCCUGACGGAGCAACGCCGCGUGAGUGAUGAAGGUCUUCGGAUCGUAAAGCUCUGUUAUUAGGGAAGAACAAAUGUGUAAGUAACUAUGCACGUCUUGACGGUACCUAAUCAGAAAGCCACGGCUAACUACGUG